rnacentral:snRNA from 1 species
UGACCUCCCGGGAAGUCCUCG